UUAGUUGAAACCAAAAUAGAGGUAUAUUACUGUUAAUAAUAAUAAUGAAUAAUUAUUCCAACUAAG
rnacentral:tRNA from 1 species